GGUCUCCAGUUUAAAGCCCAAAUUCAUUUCUGUCUUGAUAGCAAUUGUUAGUCGUAAGUCGUAACCCUACCUACCUCUGUUCGUCUCUUACGUUUCAGCUUCUACAAACUUCGAUUUCUUUUCUCUCCGGAACCGUUUCAACCAAUUACUUUACCACUAGCUGUUCUAAUCAAAACUUUUGCUUGAUCUCAUUCCCAUUCAAUGAAUUCCUUUCACCUUCCUUUCUAUUCGUCUAUUUAUAAAGCUCUUCUCAUAUCAUAUGUCUCAGUUAAAAUUGAUAAGAUUCUCUUAGAUAUUUAUCUUGAUGGAACCCAGAGGCAGCUCUACAGACUCCACCGACCGGAAGACGAACAAGAAGACCGUCUCAUCCUCCGCGACUGCCAAACCAGACUGAAAGUCCACUGCUUCCAUUACUGAUUCAUCCCGUUAAUCCUUUUAUUAAAUCCAUCAACCACGAUCUAGCCUUCAAUGCAAGUUUCUUUUGUGAGAAGCGGUGUAUCAGCGAGUAUAUAAAGAAGCUGCGUUUCUCUGGGAGACCAGGAAUGUCAGGCGGUGGAGAUAUUGUGACGUUAAAUAGUUCCAGCAAGCUUCUCUAUAUUUCUUCUUUCUGAUAGUUUUCAACCUCUGUUUCAUGCGAACAUAUGCAGGCCACCAUUAAUUCUAACCGACGACUUGCUCUCAGCAUUCAGCAUUCAAUCUUCAUAAAAGCCACUGUGUACAAGUAUCUUAUCAAGGCGGGUUCAAUUUAUUCCAUAAGCGGUUUUGCUGUGACUCAGAGCAAUCUGAACCUUAAGUUGUCCGUCUCUCCUCUAUCGAUUUGACUCCACCGUUGAAUUUCGUCUCCACUGUCGAGAUAAAAUGGAGAGAUUGCACGAAAGAUACGUUUCUUCAAAAACCAAAUGUCAAAAAAGUUGGAGUAUCUCCCAAAGAGUUCAUAGACAAAGAAGUUUAAAUGGAUUUGGAUGAUGUUAAGGUCGAGUGUGGGGAGCCAGAAGCUGAACUUUACGUAAUCAAGGCUAUUAAUAAAAUGCUGCAACGCUCUUACAAUUAACUUGUGGAUUUUAGGUCUCUUAGCAACUGUUCUUAUACAGGUGAAUCUGCAUCUUGGUUUAGGUCUCAGUCUUUAUUUCAGCUCUCACAAUAAGCGUAGGAGAGAGAUAGAGAGAGUACUAAUCAUAUUGACAUCGCUGCAAUAGCCCUAUCAACAGUAGGAUCCUUAGUGUCUUACAUGGUAACUCUUGCAAAGGUUUAUUGUUACGUUCAAGACCAAUGUUACCGCUGAGAGAGCAGAGACUUUGCUCUAUUGUUAUUGUCUCAAACAUCGUUAGAUGAAUUCAAGAUUCUGUAAAUAAGGAUGUUAUAAAAGCUAGGAUGGAGAGCUGUUCAAGAGUGCUUCAAGGUUUAGCUUUCAACACUGUUGUGUGAAAUGAUGCUGUUAUCUUUGUAGACAAAAGUAUGAGACGUACUGAAUGACUUCUUAUAGGUUUUACACGUAGUGAAUGACUUCUUAUAGGUUUUAGUUUUACGGUUUACUUCUAUGUUUGUUCUUUUCCUUCUGUUCUCUUAUAUCUCAUGUAAAAUUAGUCAGAUAAAAACCAAUGUAAAAUCUAGAAAUAAUGUAUUUUUUUUGCUCAA